rnacentral:ncRNA from 1 species
GGCUUAAUUUGACUCGACACGGGCGAACUUUACGCGGCCCAGACACAGGAAGGAUUGAGAGAUUCAAGAGCUCUUUCUUGAUUCUGUGGGUGGUGAUGCAUGGCCGAUUUUAGUUAGUGAAACGGUUUGUCUGUCCGAUAGCGAAAGACUCUAGCUUACUAAAUAGACGCUCCGAUCCUUCGAGUCGGACGUUCUUAGAGCGACGUUUAGCUGCAUGAGACAGAGCGAUAAACAGGUCUGUGAUGCCCUUAAGAUGUCCGGGGCCGCAC